GUACAAGGCUAAAUAGGGCCCUGGGAUGAGGCACCUGUGACAGGGAGUGGUUUUGCACCCCUCCCUGUCACAGGUGCCUCAUCCCAGGGCCCUAUUUAGCCUUGUGCU